rnacentral:rRNA from 1 species
UACGUAGGGGGCAAGCGUUGUCCGGAAUCAUUGGGCGUAAAGCGCGUGUAGGCGGCUCGAUAAGUCUGCUGUGAAAGUCCAGGGCUCAACCCUGGGAUGCCGGUGGAUACUGUCGAGCUCGAGUCCGGAAGAGGCGAGUGGAAUUCCUGGUGUAGCGGUGAAAUGCGCAGAUAUCAGGAGGAACACCAAUGGCGAAGGCAGCUCGCUGGGACGUGACUGACGCUGAGACGCGAAAGCGUGGGGAGCAAACAGGAUGAGAACCGUAACGUAGU